rnacentral:pre_miRNA from 14 species
UACGGAUGAGCACAGAAAGUGGUUUCCUAAGAAGGAAUCCACUCCUGGUGAAGAUGCUGUAA